GGCCACAUUACAUUGUAACACCUGUUCCCCAUAUGAUUUCCAAAAUUAAGCAACGUUGUGCCUGGUCAGUACUUAGAUGGGUGACCACUUGGUAGUACCAAGUGCUAUA